GAUGAACGCUGGCGGCGUGCCUAAUACAUGCAAGUCGAGCGAACAGAUAAGGAGCUUGCUCCUUUGACGUUAGCGGCGGACGGGUGAGUAACACGUGGGUAACCUACCUAUAAGACUGGAAUAACUCCGGGAAACCGGGGCUAAUGCCGGAUAACAUGUUGAACCGCAUGGUUCUACAGUGAAAGGCGGCUUUGCUGUCACUUAUAGAUGGACCCGCGCCGUAUUAGCUAGUUGGUGAGGUAACGGCUCACCAAGGCAACGAUACGUAGCCGACCUGAGAGGGUGAUCGGCCACACUGGAACUGAGACACGGUCCAGACUCCUACGGGAGGCAGUAGUAGGGAAUCUUCCGCAAUGGGCGAAAGCCUGACGGAGCAACGCCGCGUGAGUGAUGAAGGUCUUCGGAUCGUAAAACUCUGUUAUUAGGGAAGAACAAAUGCGUAAGUAACUGUGCGCGUCUUGACGGUACCUAAUCAGAAAGCCACGGCUAACUACGUG
rnacentral:rRNA from 1 species